UGUAGCUCAAUGGCAGAGUGCUUGCCUCGCAUGCAUGAGGCCUUGGGUUCAAUUUCUCAGCA
rnacentral:tRNA from 1 species